AUGAUGAGUUAACUAGAAAAAAUAUGGUUAGAACACAAUGAUUAACCGUGAUUUCAUUUACUAGGGCGGACUGAUUAA